rnacentral:rRNA from 1 species
UCUGCAGGUUGAUAUUUAAGUCUUUUGUUAAACCUCCGGGCUCAACCCGGAAUCUGCAAAGGAAGCUAUCUAUCUUGAGUAUGGUAGGGGUAAAGGGAAUUUCCAGUGGAGCGGUGAAAUGCGUAGAUAUUGGAAAGAACACCAACAGCGAAGGCACUUUACUGGGCCAGUACUGACACUCAGAGACGAAAGCUAGGGGAGCAAACA